rfam:Brachypodium distachyon strain Bd21 chromosome 2, whole genome shotgun sequence.
CUUCUACUCCCUCCGAUCCAUAUUAAUUGUCUAACAUUUGUUCAAAUAUGGAUGUAUCAAUGCCUAAAAAGUUUUUAGAUACAUGUAAUAUUUUGACAAUUAAUAUGGAUCGGAGGGAGUAGUAC